rnacentral:rRNA from 1 species
GAUGAACGCUGGCGGCGUGCCUAAUACAUGCAAGUCGAGCGAACGGACUAGAAGCUUGCUUCUCUGAUGUUAGCGGCGGACGGGUGAGUAACACGUGGAUAACCUACCUAUAAGACUGGUAUAACUUCGGGAAACCGGAGCUAAUACCGGAUAAUAUUUUGAACCGCAUGGUUCAAAACUGAAAGACGGUCUUGCUGUCACUUAUAGAUGUAUCCGCGCUGCAUUAGCUAGUUGGUAAGGUAACGGCUUACCAAGGCAACGAUGCAUAGCCGACCUGAGAGGGUGAUCGGCCACACUGGAACUGAGACACGGUCCAGACUCCUACGGGAGGCAGCAGUAGGGAAUCUUCCGCAAUGGGCGAAAGCCUGACGGAGCAACGCCGCGUGAGUGAUGAAGGUCUUCGGAUCGUAAAACUCUGUUAUUAGGGAAGAAAAUAUGUGUAAGUAACUGUGCACAUCUUGACGGUACCUAAUCAGAAAGCCACGGCUAACUACGUG